GGUGUCUCCCUGGGCCAGGUGGUCAGGCCGGCUGAUAGACUCACACAAAGUGAACUGGCCGGCACAGACACUCCCCCACUUCCCCCAGGGGGAGGCGCGCACGCGCACUCGCGGAGGCCCUGCCCCCCUCCGUCACGUCUCUGCUCUCCGCUGGGGAGAGGCCCGGAGUGGCUGUGGCACGGAGACUGGUUUCUGGCGGCUGCUUGGAGGGGACCCUGCGGAGACUCGCCGCGGGAAGAAGCUCACCUGGGUGGGGAAGCCGGGAGCACUGGCCCCGGAUCCAGCUCUGCCUGUCUCUAAGUGCCUGCCCUUUGCUUACCAUCCCAAGGGAGUGGAGGAGAUCAGGCAGUGGUAGCUGUGCCCUCGAUGAUGCCCAGGCUGCAGUGGUCGUGGCCAAUUCUUCCUGGAUUCCUGGGACGGAGAAAUGCUCCAGGAACAGCAGGCAUAUGUUGUUUCAGGCGGUGACAUUCCAGGAUGUGGCUGUGUACUUCACAAGGAAAGAAUGGAAACAUCUGGACUCUUUUCAAAGGCAUCUCUACAGGGAUGUGAUGCUGGAGAAUUAUGGGAACCUGCUGUCCCUGGGUAAGAGCUGUUUCCCUGUGUUAAGAACUGUGACUUACAAACCUGUCUUUCCUGGUAUCCUGACUGCCUCCUGUAAUGUCAUCUGUGUUGGAAAUGCCUAGUGUGGAAACUGCUGUUCAUUUUGUAUCCAUCUGGAUACUAUUUACGUGUUCUUGCCCUUCUCCCUGGACUGUCUCACUAGCUCUGCCACAGAAGAAUCCUGCCUCUCUGGAAAUCCUUCUCUUGGUGACUGAUUCUUGGUGAUUGUGUCCUUCUCUCUCUCUCUUUUUUUUUUUUUGGUGAGGCAGUGGGGUGAAGUGACUUGCCCAGGGUCACACAGCUAGUAUGUGUCUGAG
rnacentral:lncRNA from 1 species